GACUCAGCCCACCUGCACCCAGGUAAAAUAAAUGGCCUUGCUGCUCACACAAAGCCUGUUUGGUGGUCUCUUCACACGGACACAAGUGAAAUUUGGUGCCCUGACUCGGAUCAGGGGACCUCCCUUGGGAGAUCAAUCCCCUGUCCUCCUGCCCUUUGCUCCGUGAGAAAGAUCCAUCUACAACCUCGGGUCCUCAGACCAACCAGCCCAAGGAACAUCUCACCAAUUUUAAAUCGGACCCAUCUGACCUCUCCCCUCCUCCCCAGGCUGCUCCUCACCAGGCCGAGCCAGGUUCCAAUUCUUCCUCAGCCUCCGCUUCUCCACCCUAUGAUCCUUUUAUCAACUCCCCUCCUCACACCUGGUCCCACUUACAGUUUCAUUCCAUGGCUAGCCCUCCCCAACCUGCCCAGCAAUUUCCUCUUAAAAAGGUGGCUGGAGCUGAAGGCAUAGUCAAGGUUAAUGCUCCUUUUUCUUUACCUGACCUCUCCCAAAUCAGUUAGCAUUUAGGCUCUUUUUCAUCAAAUAUGAAAAACCCAGCCCAGUUCUUGGCCCGUUUAGCAGCAACCCUUAGACUCUUUACAGCCCUAGACUCGGAAGGGUCAGAAGUCCAUCUCAUUCUAAAUAUGCAUUUUAUCACCCAGUCAGCUCCUGACAUUAAAUAAAACUCCAAAAAUUAAAUAAAUUCCAGCCCUCAAACCCCACAACAGGACUUAAUUAACCUCACUUUCAAGGUGUACAAUAAUACAGUAGAGGCAGCCAAGUAGCAAUGUAUUUCUGAGUUGCAAUUCCUUACCUCCACUGUGAGACAAACCCCAGCCACAUCUCUAGCACACAGGAACUCCAAACGCCUGAACCGCAGCUUCCAGGGGUUCCUCCAGAACCUCCUCCCCCAGGAGCUUGCUUCAAGUGCCAGAAAUCUGGCCACUGGGCCAAGGAAUGCCCGCAGCCUGGGAUUCCUCCUAAGCUGUGUCCCAUCUGUAUGGGACCCCACUGGAUAUCAGACUCUCCAACUUGCCCAGCAGCCACUCCCAGAGCCCCUGGAACUCUGGCCCAAGGCUCUCUGACUGACUCCUUCCCAGAUCUGCUUGGCUUAGCGGCUGAAGACUGAUGCAGCCCAGUCACCUCGGAAGCCCCCUGGACCAUCACGGACGCCGAGCUUUGGGUAACUCUUACAGUGGAAGAAGACAGGAAUGUCAGGCCUCUGAGCCCAGGCUAAGCCAACAUAUCCUCUGUGACCUGAAUGUAUACAUCCAGAUGGCCUGAAGUAGCUAAGAAUCACAAAAGAAGUGAAAAUGGUCUGCUCCUGCCUUAACUGAUGACAUUACCUUGUGAAAUUCCUUCUCCUGGCUCAUCCUGGCUCAAUAGCUCCCCCGCUGAGCACCUUGUGACCCCCCCUCCCCUGCCAGCCAGAGAACAACCCCCUUUGACUGUAAUCUUCCUUUACCUACCCAAAUCCUAUAAAACAGCCCCGCCCCUAUCUACCUUCGCUCUCUUCUGAUUCAGCCCACCUGCACCCAGGUGAAAUAAACAGCCUUGU